GCUUUGUUAAACAAGUGCUUGAAGGCAGUAUGCUUGGUAAAAGUCAUCGCCAUUCUCUAAUCUUGAGUACCCAGGGACACGAUACACUGCGGAAGGCUGCAGGGACCUCUGCCCAGGAAAGCCAGGGAUCACUCUAAGCUCCAGUGUCAAGGAGUCAAGUCCUUCAGGAAUUCUCUGCCUCCACUCCCUGUGGCAGAGCUAGAGUGGCUGCCAUGCUUCUGAGCUCAGCCAGCAUCCAGAGAGAGAGUGAGAUACAGCCUCCUCUUCUUGAAGCACCCACUUCUAAACUCUGUGACAGUUUUCUUGGAACUCUGUUAUGUGGAUCUGGAGAUGACAAUGUCACAGCACUCCCCUCUAAGCCUAAAUUCCCCCACACCGAUGAACUAUUAGGAUCCAGUAUCUGCCGGAGGAGCCCCACCUUCUGCUACUAUUAUGUUCUUCAGAUGAGUAGAAGAGAGUGGGGAGGGAGAGAGCAGGAAGAAGAAAGGAAGAAUAAUGUCUUGAAAUUGUUUUCUAAGGAUAAUGGUCUCCAGCUUCGUCAAUGUUCCUGCAAAGGACAUGAUGCUGACUUUGAAGAUGCAAGCUUCCACAUCUACAGCCUCAAGGAAACAAAUUCAGCCAACCAACUGAGGGAGCUUUCCUUGUCCUGCCUCAAGAUGAGAUCACAGUCUGCCCAACACCAUGAUUUAGGCCUUGUGACACCUGAUGAUGCAUAUCAUAAAUUAUUACUCACCCCAUGUUCCCACCCUCGAGAGACCUCCAAACAAUCACCAUGCCACAGUGAACAUUCAGUAACAAAAAUUCAGCCAGGGUUUUCACCAGCAUGAAUGGCAGUGAUUCCAAUCAGGAAAACAGAAAGAGGAGAGUUCAGAGCCACCUAGAAUGGCUCUUGCAAGAUACGAAAUCAAGGCAGCAGCAACAGGGCUGAACAUUCCUCAUCCCUAACUCUCCCUUCACCAGUAGGAAACCCAGGAUAACUGCAAUCACCGCAGGCCCAUCUGGCCUGAAGUUCUACUACUAGUAGCCCUCCAUGGGACCUUCUUAAGGAAGCAUGUCAACUCAGGUAAGGGAUGUAAGGGGAUGGAUGACCCUUUGAGGCCAAAGUUGGAGCAAAAAA
rnacentral:lncRNA from 1 species